rnacentral:sRNA from 1 species
AAAUCCAUUCUUGUGCUGCUUCUCGGAAAAGCUUUUCAGUAAAUGCACUCAUGCUGCUCCAGGAGCUCUUCUCUGCAACAAGCCACCCAUCUGCCAUCAACAAGUUAAGACCAAGAGAACUAACGGCUGCGGAAAGGAGACUGAAGCUUUGAUUAACCAGCUGAGCAGUUAGAGGUGGAGAAAUUUAAUAACUUAUAUUCAAAACUGAUUUAGGGAUCAGAGCAAUCACAGAAAAUGAAACCAAUGCUUUCCAGAGGGAUAUCCUAAGGAAAAAACAACUCAUCCUGGUGGAUUCAAUUUUACUUGGAAAGCCUGGGACACAGAAAACAGGAAACUGGUCAAAGGCUCCUACAUGUUAGAGCCUUUUACAGACUCACUGCGUUGAGUCUAACAACCGCGACUGAAUGCAGCCUCCAAUGUGCUCAGAAGAAUGGAGCUCUUCUAUGGCCUUCGGAAGCUGCAGACCUUGCAUUUACGUUCCAACUCCCUGCGGACUAU